rnacentral:rRNA from 1 species
UACGGGGGGGGGCAAGCGUUGUCCGGAUUUAUUGGGCGUAAAGAGCGUGUAGGCGGCUUGGUAGGUCCGCUGUGAAAACUCGAGGCUCAACCUCGAGAUGUCGGCGGAAACCACUUGGCUAGAGUCCGGAAGAGGAGAGUGGAAUUCCUGGUGUAGCGGUGAAAUGCGCAGAUAUCAGGAAGAACACCUAUGGCGAAGGCAGCUCUCUGGGACGGUACUGACGCUGAGGAGCGAAAGCGUGGGGAGCAAACAGG